GGCCGGCUGGCCCAAUGGUAAGGCGCUUGACUACGAAUCAAGAGAUUGCAGGUUCGAGACCCCUGCGUCGGUCA
rnacentral:tRNA from 1 species